CAUGCUGAAGAGGAACAGCACACACAUAUGAAUAAAGAAGACUGUAAAUCUGUCAAAACCCUUCACACAGUCAACACCUGGGCUGAAAAUCAAUUAGACUGCACAGAUUGCUGGAAAUAAUGUGUAAGAAUGAUUGAUCUCUCCAUCGGUGAUAAGAAGCUCUUCUCCAUCAUGCGCCUGCUGCCACCUCCGUCCCACUUUCCCUGAGCUAUCAUAGCAGGCCUGUCUGAGAGGCCCGUGAUAACGACAGGCCUGGGACACAAAGUGCUCCAUUACCACCACCAUACUGAAUGGCUUCAUCUGCUGUUGCAAUAUGUUUUGAAAGAAUAAGAAGCCUACGAACACAAACAUCACCAAUGUUAAGGUGCAACAUCCUUAAAUGGCUCAUUCAGAGGAGAUCAGUAUUCAAAGCUCAGAACUUUGACACUGGAGACCAGAGUUCAUGUAUCCUUCAUAUUGUGUUUUGCACCAAAACACGUGGGUAAGGUUCCAGGAAGAGGAUGUGUUUAGUUAAACAUCGAAAAAGUCAAUGAGUCCUGUUUCGUUUCGUUUUCAAAGCUUCAGAGGAUGUUUAAAUCACAUGCUUUAUGUACAUCAUGACUUAUGUGCUAUUUCUGUUUUCAUUGCAUUUUGUUGCAAUUUGCUUUUGUCCAUACAGCACCACUUCAGCCAAGUGUCAAAACUUUUUUUUCCAAAAAAUUUCCACUCAUGUUUUUUUAUGUAAAAGAAAAGAAAAGAGGUGGAUGGAAUCACACCUAUUGACAGUGAACAUUCUGCAGAUACGGUCAGGAUGAACAUUUUAUGCUGUCAGUGUAAAUUCCUCCAUAUCAUGUUCAUAAAUGUAGUCUUUAUAUUUCCCACAAAUCCUUUUCUUUAAUGCAUAUGCAUGUAUAUUAACUUAAUUUUAGAAGAAAGGAUUAGAAUACAAAAACAGUGUUAAAUUAGCUCAGGUCUCAAUGCACAUCAGAUGUUUAGAUGUUGUCAGUGUACCUACAUGCAAAACUUUAACUUUCUAUACUUUGUAAAUAAACAUUGAUGUUUAGAGAUCUAGUGGGGUAAGAGGUGAACUUCUUUAUUGCACAGAAGCGAACCUGCUGAGAUGGUCAAGUUGUACAUUUCAUGACACUCUCAGUCCUUUACAGCUAUCAUUUCCCAGAUGAUGAGGACCUCUAAUAUGGCUUCUGGAUGUCCUGCAACAACUAUUUUAUCCUUAAAAUUAUCCUCCUUUUACAUCAUUUGCAUCAGAUUGAUACUUGCAACAAUGCAUAGACUAAAUUCAAUAUGUGGGGAAAAAAUAGACUAAACUUAGAUUCACGCUCCACUACAUCCCCAGUGCAGCCUACUCUAUUUCUGCAUAUACAAUACAUGGAACUUAAGAGUGUUAUUGUAUGUGUAUUUGUCAGUUGUGUGUGUGUGUGUGUGUGUGUAACCCAGGUGCUGUCAGAGUGAGUCUUGCCCCUGACAGAGACGGGUCACCAUGAAGCCUGUAAUUCAUGUGCAGUGAUGUGAUCUCUGAGAGACAGGGGGGAGAUGAGUAAUUAGACCCUGUCCUCAUGCUUGAUUACAGUCUUGUUUCGACAUAAACCAUAUCUACCCAGGGAGGCUACAUUACCAUUUCCCUAGCGCCGCCUGGUUAUGUUAGCAAAGCACUCGAAGCUGCAGUUCUUUUUUUUCCCCUCCCUGCACUCUUUUGACAGCUAAAAUACUCUAAAGAUAUUUCAUGUGUGCACCUAUUCAC